GUAGGCUUAGGCUUAGGCUUAGGUGUAGGCCCAGGCUUAGGCUUAGGCUUAGGCUUAGGCUUAAGCUUUGGCGUAGGCCUAGGCUUAGGCUUAGGC
ensembl:ncRNA C23H5.14 ncRNA